UACGUAGGUGGCAAGCGUUGUCCGGAUUUAUUGGGCUUAAAGGGCGCGUAGGCGGCCCUGUAAGUCAGGGGUGAAAUACUCCAGCUUAACUGGAGGGGUGCCAUUGAUACUGCAGGGCUUGAGUGGAGUCGAAGUAGGCGGAAUUGACGGUGUAGCGGUGAAAUGCUUAGAUAUCGGCAAGAACACCGAUAGUGAAGACAGCUUACUAGGCUUCUACUGACGCUGAGGCACGAAAGUGUGGGGAUCAAACAGG
rnacentral:rRNA from 1 species